AUAACGACUCUCGGCAACGGAUAUCUCGGCUCUCGCAUCGAUGAAGAACGUAGCGAAAUGCGAUACUUGGUGUGAAUUGCAGAAUCCCGUGAACCAUCGAGUCUUUGAACGCAAGUUGCGCCCCAGGCCUCUAGGUCGAGGGCACGUCUGCCUGGGUGUCACG
rnacentral:rRNA from 1 species